UUCUNCGGAGGGCAGCAGGCGNGCAAAUUGCCCAAUGUCAAAAAAAAACGAUGAGGCAGCGAAAAGAAAUAGAGCCGGCAGUGCCACUGGCAUUGCCGUUUUCAAUGGGGGAUAUUUAAACCCAUCCAAAAUCGAGUAUCAAUUGGAGGACAAGUCUGGUGCCAGCACCCGCGGUAAUUCCAGCUCCAAAAGCGUAUAUUAAUGCUGUUGCUGUUAAAGGGUUCGA
rnacentral:rRNA from 1 species